UAGAGUAGGUGAAUGGCCGCCCUCUGAAUAUUCAGAGGGAGGAAAGUCCGAGCUCCACAGGACAGGGUGGUCGCUAACAGCGACUGGGGGUGACCCCAAGGAAAGUGCCACAGAAAAUAGACCGCCAGCGGCCCCAUGGAAGUAAUUCCACGGGGUGCGGGUAAGGGUGAAACGGUGAGGUAAGAGCUCACCAGUCUGGGUGGUGACACCCAGAGCUAGGCAAACCCCACCCGGAGCAAGACCAAAUAGGAGGGCAAUCCUGAAAAGGAUAAGGGUGGUCCGCCCGACGCCCUCGGGUAGGUCGCUAGAGGCAUUGAGCAAUCAAUGCCCCAGAGGAAUGGCCAUUACUUGAACAAAGGUGACUUUGUUCAAGGACAGAACUCGGCUUAUAGCCUGCUCUAACUC
rfam:Candidatus Desulfofervidus auxilii strain HS1 genome.